rnacentral:rRNA from 1 species
GACAGAGGGUGCAAACGUUGUUCGGAAUUACUGGGCGUAAAGCGCGUGUAGGCUGCUUCGCAAGUCGGGUGUGAAAGCCCUGGGCUCAACCUAGGAAGUGCACUCGAAACUGCGAAGCUGGAGUCCUGGAGAGGAAGGCGGGAUUCUCGGUGUAGAGGUGAAAUUCGUAGAUAUCGAGAGGAACACCGGUGGCGAAGGCGGCCUUCUGGACAGUGACUGACGCUGAGACGCGAAAGCGUGGGGAGCAAAUAGG